rnacentral:rRNA from 1 species
UCGGGAAUAUUGGUCAAUGGGCGCAAGCCUGAACCAGCCAUGCCGCGUGCAGGAUGAAGGCCCUCAGGGUUGUAAACUGCUUUUGUAUGGGAAUAAAAAAGUCCUUGCGAGGACUCUUGAAGGUACCAUAAGAAUAAGCACCGGCUAACUCCGUGCCAGCAGCCGCGGUAAUACGGAGGGUGCAAGCGUUAUCCGGAUUUACUGGGUUUAAAGAGUGCGUAGGCGGUUUCUUAAGUCAGUGGUGAAAGCUUAGCGCUUAACGCUAGAAGUGCCACUGAUACUGGGAAGCUUGAGUCAAGAAGAGGUAAGCAGAAUUCAUAGUGUAGCAGUGAAAUGCUUAGAUACUAUGAGGAAUACCAACAGCGAAAGCAGCUUACUGGUCUUGUACUGACGCUGAGGCACGAAAGCGUGGGUAGCGAACAGGAUUAGAUACCCCCGUAGUCC